UACGUAGGGUGCGAGCGUUAAUCGGAAUUACUGGGCGUAAAGCGUGCGCAGGCGGUUCGUUGUGUCGGCGGUGAAAGCCCCGGGCUCAACCUGGGAAUGGCAUUUGAUACUCAAGGGCUCGAGUACGGGAGAGGAGAGUGGAAUUCCCAGUGUAGAGGUGAAAUUCGUAGAUAUUGGGAAGAACACCGGUGGCGAAGGCGGCUCUCUGGACCGUAACUGACGCUGAGGCGCGAAAGCGUGGGGAGCAAACAGG
rnacentral:rRNA from 1 species